ensembl:lncRNA
AUGAUGAAUUCAGAUUAUAUUGAAGGGCACAUGGAGUAUAUCAUCCAGGAAAAUGAAAGUGGUAUGAUCAGUACCACUACGGUGCCCAUGAUUCCAGUGUCAAUCACCCCUCAAGUCAACAUAGUGGGGUCAGCUCUCAUCUACGCUCAUGUGGUCUUCAACUCUUCCACACCCAUCGCCAGUGACACCGCAGCAGUUAAUACUACGCACACACUUCUGUUGUCUUUGUCUGCAAACUUCUAUCAAACAAUUCAGGUGGAGAAUGUGACAUAUGAACGUAAGUCAAGAGCUACAAGAGCUACAGGCUGUCAGAACUUUUUUCUAGAUUUUAUCACAUAAUUUUCAUACCUUCAUGUAAAAAAAAUGUCCUAUUUUUUAACUUAACAGAAAUAUCAGACACUUCAUAUGCAGUCAUCAUCAGCUUAAGGCUAAACAAUGUCAGCAUGCCAGAGAAAAGUGAAUCUGCAAACGACACAUAUAGCCAAAUUCAGAAUACUAUUAACAACAUGGUAAGUUCAGUUUAAUGGAUGGUACUUAU